rnacentral:rRNA from 1 species
AUUGAACGCUGGCGGCAUGCCUUACACAUGCAAGUCGAACGGCAGCACGGGAGCAAUCCUGGUGGCGAGUGGCGAACGGGUGAGUAAUAUAUCGGAACGUGCCCAGUCGUGGGGAUAACGUAGCGAAAGCUACGCUAAUACCGCAUACGAUCUAUGGAUGAAAGCGGGGGAUCGCAAGACCUCGCGCGAUUGGAGCGGCCGAUAUCAGAUUAGGUAGUUGGUGAGGUAAAGGCUCACCAAGCCGACGAUCUGUAGCUGGUCUGAGAGGACGACCAGCCACACUGGGACUGAGACACGGCCCAGACUCCUACGGAGGCAGCAGUGGGGAAUUUUUGGGACAAUGGGCGCAAGCCUGAUCCAGCAAUGCCGCGUGCAGGAUGAAGGCCUUCGGG